CAGCAACAAGGUGAAUACUGCAGAGGUCUGUCACAGGACCUGUCCAAUUUAACAUUUCUAUCAAUGAUUUGGGUGGGGGUAAAAGUGCUUAUAAGGUUUGCAGAUGGUGCCAAAUCAGGUGGUGGUGGAGGCCUAGCAGUUAUGCUUGAGUGUGGGGCUGCCACCCAGGGGGACCUAGGCAAGCUGCAGGAAUGAGCCAACAGGAACCUUCUAAAAUCCAACAGAGUCCUGCACCAGGAAAAGAAGAGGAAAAGAAAAGUCAACAGAACAGACUGGAGACUGACUGGCCAGGGAGAAGCUUCUGCUGAGAAGGACCUAGAAGGUCCUUGUAGAUGCUAAACUGCCGUGACCAGCAGCAUGAGAGGCCAAGAGCAUCCUGGGUUAUAUCAAGAGGAGUACAGCCGGCAGAUCAAGCCCACCAUUCUCCUUUGAGGUGCUGGUUCUUCUUUGCCUGUGGAUUCCUCCUCUGGAAAAAAACAUGUCCACACCUGAAGACUUCUCCCAGCUGGCUACGCAGAAAGGUGUGUUGCUUCUAUGGCAAGUGUUUCUAUGACUUAGUGACUCCGUUCUUUUUUGAGAAGUAUUUUGUAAAUUCAUACAGAAUACUAAAAGUUUUUUAUAAUGGUUUCUAAGAAUAUUUAUGGAAAUAAUAUAAUUUUGUUGAGAACAAGUACUUUGGAACUUAUCACGACACAUAGAUCCUCCUGAGCACGUAUCCUUUUUGAUCAGGAGCCACUUGGCAAAAAUGUGAUGCAACUACAUGGAUGUUCACAGCAGCACUGUGAACGUAUUCCCUAAUUAACAUUCCCUAAUUUAUCUUUCCUAUAUAUGUGUGCCCCUUCCAUUUAAAGAAAUGUAUGUAUGACGUCAGAAUAUAACCUGCAGUGUUGUAAUAUCAAGCAUGCUGCAUGAGACAUAAUCCUGGAAUCGUCUAGGUUGGAAGGGAUCUUUAAGAUAAUCAAGUCCAACGGUUAACCUAGCACUGCUAACUAAGGCCACCACUAAACCAUGUCCCUCAGCACCAGGACUACCCAUCUUUUACAUACCUCCAGGGAUGGUGAUUCCACCACUUCCCUGGGCAGCCUGUUCCGAUGCUUGACAGCCCUUUCAGUGAAGGAAUUUUUCCGAAUAUCGGCAUGAGAUCUUGGGCUGCUGCUGUGCAAGUCAGGCAAAGGCAGCCAAAGUAAAGGGGCUGCAAAAAGCAGAACAGGAUUUCCCUUACUGUCCGUGAGAGCAUGAACGCUCCUCAUUAGUGCGGUAGUGGCUUCUUUAGGCACGGGCGGCGGCUGUCAGCUCCCCGGCCACCAGGUAUACCCCCCUCACACUGGAGGCGGGGAUAGACCCAACGGUUAAACUGACGUCAGGUGCCCGCAGCCAAUCCCCGUGCCGGAACCUGAGAAGCGGAGGGGGGCGGGUCCCGCUUACUUUAGCCGUAUGGGCUG
rnacentral:lncRNA from 1 species